rnacentral:rRNA from 1 species
AUUGAACGCUGGCGGCAUGCCUUACACAUGCAAGUCGAACGGUAACGGGCCUUCGGGUGCCGACGAGUGGCGAACGGGUGAGUAAUGUAUCGGAACGUACCAUUGAGUGGGGGAUAACGUAGCGAAAGUUACGCUAAUACCGCAUAUUCUCUCCGGAGGAAAGCAGGGGACCGCAAGGCCUUGCGCUAUUUGAGCGGCCGCUAUCAGAUUAGCUAGUUGGUGGGGUAAAAGCUCACCAAGGCGACGAUCUGCAGCGGGUCUGAGAGGAUGAUCCGCCACACUGGAACUGAGACACGGUCCAGACUCCUACGGGAGGCAGCAGUGGGGAAUUUUGGACAAUGGGGGCAACCCUGAUCCAGCCAUGCCGCGUGAGUGAAGAAGGCCUUCGGGUUGUAAAGCUCUUUCAGCCGGGAAGAAAUCGCAUGGGCUAAUACCCCGUGCGGAUGACGGUACCGGAAUAAGAAGCACCGGCUAACUACGUGCCAGCAGCCGCCGCAGUAA